UCGAAUAAAUCUGGCUCUUGGGUUGUAGCUGGCUUGUCCGCGAGCAUGUGCACGCCUGGGUCACCUUUAUCUAUCCACCUGUGCACACACUGUAGUCCUGGAUACCUCUCGUCGAAAAGACGGAUGCAGAGGCUGCUGCUUUGCUGUCAAAGGCAAUUGUCGGCUUCUCUCUGAAUUUCCAGGGCUACGAAUUACUCUUUACACACCCCAAACGAAUGUAACAGAAUGUAUUCACUAGGCCUUUGUUUGCCUAUAAACCUAAUA
rnacentral:misc_RNA from 1 species